rnacentral:rRNA from 1 species
AUUGAACGCUGGCGGCAUGCCUUACACAUGCAAGUCGAACGGUAACAGGUCUUUCGGGAUGCUGACGAGUGGCGAACGGGUGAGUAAUACAUCGGAACGUGCCUAGUAGUGGGGGAUAACUACUCGAAAGAGUGGCUAAUACCGCAUGAGAUCUAUGGAUGAAAGCAGGGGACCUUCGGGCCUUGUGCUACUAGAGAGGCCGAUGGCAGAUUAGGUAGUUGGUGGGAUAAAAGCUUACCAAGCCUACGAUCUGUAGUUGGUCUGAGAGUACGAUCAGCCACACUGGGACUGAGACACGGCCCAGACUCCUACGGGAGGCAGCAGUGGGGAAUUUUGGACAAUGGGCGCAAGCCUGAUCCAGCAAUGCCGCGUGCAGUAUGAAGGCCUUCGGGUUGUAAACUGCUUUUGUACGGAACGAAAAGUCUUGGGUUAAUACCCUGGGAUCAUGACGGUACCGUAAGAAUAAGCACCGGCUAACUACGUGCCAGCAGCCGCGGUAAUAC